rnacentral:tRNA from 1 species
GCCUUCAUGGUGUAACAGCAGCAUACUUGGCGUGUGUUCAAAAGGUCCGGGUUCGAGUCCCGGCGAGGGCA